rnacentral:rRNA from 1 species
GACGUAGGGGGCGAGCGUUGUCCGGAAUCACUGGGCGUAAAGCGCGCGUAGGCGGCUGCCCGCAUCCGCAGUGAAAGCCCGCGGCUCAACCGCGGGAGGUCUGGGGCGAUGGGGCGGCUGGAGGGCGGCAGAGGCAGAUGGAAGUCCCGCAGGAGCGGUGAAAUGCGUAGAGAGCGGGAGGAACACCGGUGGCGUAGGCGGUCUGCUGGGCCGCUGCUGACGCUGAGGCGCGAAAGCCAGGGGAGCGAACGGA